GUGCCAGGGAGGAAAGGAUUUAAAGUGACAUCAUGUAAUCGAGUGACACGGAGGAGGGGAUUUAUAGUGACGUCAUGUAUCCAGUGACAUGAGAUUUAAAGUGACGUCAUGUGUCCAGUGACAGGGAGGAGAGGAUUAACAGUGGGGCUCUGAGGAGCAGAAAACGUCCCACUGAUACGGACUGUAACCCGGAAGAAGAGUCUCUCUCCUCCUCCCCACGACAUCCUGCUGCUGCCGUCCGUCUCUCCCAGUCCUCCCCCCAUGUAGGGAGAUCUAGUAGGCCUACUGGUGUUGGGGUCUGAUGUGGUGGAGGUCUGAGUUCUGACGGGACCCAGGUUUUCUAUGUGGUAACUGCAGUGCCAGGCCCCUGCUGGUCUGAGUCUGGUCUCUCCCGGUCUCUCCAGCAGCGCCAGGCUCCUGCUGGUCUACUCCUGGUCCCUCCCGGUCUCUCCAGCAGCGCCAGGCCCCUGGUGGUCUUAGUCUGGUCUCUCCUGGUCUCUCCAGCUGCGCCAUGCCCCUGGUGGUGGACGCGGUGUGGGCCGUGUGGAGCAUCACCGCCGGCGUGUACGACUACUUCAAGACCAGCGCCAUGGAGGAGAGGAUCCACGCGCUGGAGGACCUCCUCUCGCUCCACCAGCUGCUCAUCGCCGGGCUGUCCACCGGCCUGGUGCUGCUGCUGGGCUACGUGCUGCUCAGGAAACGCUGACCCCCAGGGACCAGGAGCGCUGGUCCUGGUCGGGAACCUCUGACCCGCGGCCCGGAGGUCCCCCUCAGGGGGUCCUGCUCCACCUCCAGAUGGGUCCUCGGGCUCAGUGCGGCUCCAGAGGUGUAGGAGGGCUUCCAGCAACAGUGGGAUCAAGGAGACUUGUGGGAUUAGGACAGAUGGGGACCAGCUGUGACAUUACAGGAGACGUCUCCUCUCGGUGACCUGGGAGGACCUCCGUGGAACAGGAGAAGACGAUGACGUCACCGGCUGUGGUGGGGGAACCUGAGACCUCCAAACUGCCAAAUCAUGCCUAGUCACAUGGUCUGAAUGGACCAACCAGGGAUGGUUGGAAAUCAUGCUAACCUGUCGUAGCUGAGGUCGUAGCUGAAGCUGAACCCUGUGGUACCCUCCUCAUCCUCGAUUAUCAUCAACUAUCAACACCUAACCCUGUGGUACCCUCCUCAUCCUCGAUUAUCAUCAACUAUCAACACCUAACCCUGUGGUACCCUCCUCAUCCUCGAUUAUCAUCAACUAUCAACACCUAACCCUGUGGUACCCUCCUCAUCCUCAUUCAUCAACACCUGUCUUUGUUGAACCCUGGUCUCCUGAUUUGAUUGUAUUUUUGUAUUUCUUUGUUCCUGCUGGGUCUCUAGAGGGUUCUGGGGAUAAAGGGACUUUUAUGUUGGCUAGUCUUUAGAACUCAUUACUUUAUUGCCGUUCUGUCAGCGUGUGUACAUGUAUGGAGGAGGUCCUUGAGGGAGAUAUGAUGGUUUAACAAACAGUGAUUAUUAUUAUGGCGUGAUCAGCUCAGUGAUGGAGCUUCAAUAGUGUGAAAACUGCAUUCAAAUGACUGGCUUUUUAUCUUCAAACUAAAAUACAAUUCAU